rnacentral:tRNA from 1 species
GCCCUUAUAGCUCAGUUGGUAGAGCGUCGGUCUUGUAAACCGAAGGUCUGCGGUUCGACUCCGCAUGAGGGCA